GAUGAACGCUGGCGGCGUGCCUAAUACAUGCAAGUCGAGCGAACGGACGAGAAGCUUGCUUCUCUGAUGUUAGCGGCGGACGGGUGAGUAACACGUGGAUAACCUACCUAUAAGACUGGGAUAACUUCGGGAAACCGGAGCUAAUACCGGAUAAUAUUUUGAACCGCAUGGUUCAAAAGUGAAAGACGGUCUUGCUGUCACUUAUAGAUGGAUCCGCGCUGCAUUAGCUAGUUGGUAAGGUAACGGCUUACCAAGGCAACGAUGCAUAGCCGACCUGAGAGGGUGAUCGUCCACACGGGAACUGAGCAACGGUCCGGACUCCUACGGGAGGCGGCAGUAGGAAAUCUUCCGCAUGGGCGAAAGCCUGACGGAGCAACGCCGCGUGAGUGAUGAAGGUCUUCGGAUCGUAAAACUCUGUUACUAGGGAAGAACAUAUGUGUAAGUAACUGUGCACAUCUUGACGGUACCUAAUCAGAAAGCCACGGCUAACUACGUG
rnacentral:rRNA from 1 species